rnacentral:ncRNA from 1 species
UACUGCGCCGUGUCGGUAAGCGGAAACGCCCCGAAAGCCUCGCAUUUGGAGCUUUAGCAACACGUAGCGCAGUUUU